rnacentral:lncRNA from 1 species
AUAGUGUAAUUACUCUGUUAAUUUUUUAGGCACAGACUCCAAUUCUCCAAACUACUGCUAAGACGUCCAAUACUGGAACUAGUUCUAAUACAGAGAUUAUAAAGAAGAGUACUUCUGCACCAACGGAAAAGAGUUCGAGUUUAGUUGUACAAGCAGCAUCUACCAGUAGCAACACGGGAUCCAGUAAUAAGACGGAAAAAGUGAUAAAAAAAGUUAACCUUCCAAAA